GACGAACGCUGGCGGCGUGCCUAAUACAUGCAAGUUGAGCGCUGAAGGUUGGUACUUGUACCAACUGGAUGAGCAGCGAACGGGUGAGUAACGCGUGGGGAAUCUGCCUUUGAGCGGGGGACAACAUUUGGAAACGAAUGCUAAUACCGCAUAAAAACUUUAAACACAAGUUUUAAGUUUGAAAGAUGCAAUUGCAUCACUCAAAGAUGAUCCCGCGUUGUAUUAGCUAGUUGGUGAGGUAAAGGCUCACCAAGGCGAUGAUACAUAGCCGACCUGAGAGGGUGAUCGGCCACAUUGGGACUGAGACACGGCCCAAACUCCUACGGGAGGCAGCAGUAGGGAAUCUUCGGCAAUGGACGAAAGUCUGACCGAGCAACGCCGCGUGAGUGAAGAAGGGUUUAGGAUCGUAAAACUCUGUUGGUAGAGAAGAACGUUGGUGAGAGUGGAAAGCUCAUCAAGUGACGGUAACUACCCAGAAAGGGACGGCUAACUACGUG
rnacentral:rRNA from 1 species